UGCGUGAACUGAAUGAACGAAAGGAACAAAGAGGAACCAAAAGACCAAAUUAAAUAGAAACAAAAGACAAAUGAAGUGCGUGCUUUUGUUUCAUUUAAUUUGUUCUUUUGUGUCCUUU
rnacentral:ribozyme from 1 species